UGGGGAAUAUUGGGCAAUGGGGGAAACCCUGACCCAGCAACGCCGCGUGAAGGAAGAAGGCUUUCGGGUUGUAAACUUCUUUUACCAGGGACGAAGAAAGUGACGGUACCUGGAGAAAAAGCUCCGGCUAACUACGUGCCAGCAGCCGCGGUAAUACGUAGGGAGCGAGCGUUGUCCGGAUUUACUGGGUGUAAAGGGCGUGUAGGCGGAGCUGCAAGUCAGAAGUGAAAUCUCCGGGCUCAACCCGGAAACUGCUUUUGAAACUGUAGCCCUUGAGUAUCGGAGAGGCAGGCGGAAUUCCUA
rnacentral:rRNA from 1 species